rnacentral:rRNA from 1 species
GUGUCAGCAGCCGCGGUAAUACGGGGGGGGCAAGCGUUGUUCGGAAUUACUGGGCGUAAAGGGCGUGUAGGCGGCCUAGCAAGUCAGCUGUGAAAGCCCCAGGCUCAACCUGGGAAUUGCAUCUGAAACUGCCGGGCUAGAGUUCAGGAGAGGAGGGCGGAACUCCCAGUGUAGCGGUGAAAUGCGUAGAUAUUGGGAGGAACACCGGUGGCGAAGGCGGCUCUCUGGACUGAAACUGACGCUGAGGCGCGAAAGCCAGGGGAGCGAACGGGAUUAGAUACCCGCGUAGUCC